rnacentral:rRNA from 1 species
GACGAACGCUGGCGGCGUGCUUAACACAUGCAAGUCGAACGAUGAAGCCUAGCUUGCUAGGUGGAUUAGUGGCGAACGGGUGAGUAAUACGUGAGUAACCUACCUUUAACUCUGGGAUAAGCCCGGGAAACUGGGUCUAAUACCAGAUACGACCAAUCUCCGCAUGGGGUGUUGGUGGAAAGCGUUAUGUAGUGGUUAUAGAUGGGCUCACGGCCUAUCAGCUUGUUGGUGAGGUAACGGCUCACCAAGGCGACGACGGGUAGCCGGCCUGAGAGGGUGACCGGCCACACUGGGACUGAGACACGGCCCAGACUCCUACGGGAGGCAGCAGUGGGGAAUAUUGCACAAUGGGCGCAAGCCUGAUGCAGCGACGCCGCGUGAGGGAUGACGGCCUUCGGGUUGUAAACCUCUGUUAGCAGGGAAGAAGAGAGAUUGACGGUACCUGCAGAGAAAGCGCCGGCUAACUACGUG